GUGGAACUAAGCGAAUAAAUGUAGAGGUUGUGCUUCCAAGGAAAAAUGUGAGUUUAAGUUUUAAAGUCAAGUCUUGUUGCAAACAAAUAAAGGAAUAGUAGACAAACAAAACUUCGCGGAAGACUUAAGCGAGGAACGGGAUAAAGAUAUAAAAAGGAAUAUUUUCUUUUGCAAAAGGUUACCAAAAAGACAGAGUAUAAGGGUGUUGAUAUACUCGUAGAUUGUUGAUGGAUCGAUUAUUGCAAAUGAAGAACAGAAGUUUAUAAAAUUCGUACUAA